rnacentral:rRNA from 1 species
AUUGAACGCUGGCGGCAUGCCUUACACAUGCAAGUCGAACGGCAGCACGGGUGCUUGCACCUGGUGGCGAGUGGCGAACGGGUGAGUAAUACAUCGGAACGUACCUUAUCGUGGGGGAUAACGCAGCGAAAGCUGUGCUAAUACCGCAUACGCCCUGAGGGGGAAAGCGGGGGAUCGAAAGACCUCGCGCGAUUAGGUCGGCCGAUGCCUGAUUAGCUUGUUGGUGGGGUAAAAGCCCACCAAGGCGACGAUCAGUAGCUGGUCUGAGAGGACGAUCAGCCACACUGGGACUGAGACACGGCCCAGACUCCUACGGGAGGCAGCAGUGGGGAAUUUUGGACAAUGGGGGAAACCCUGAUCCAGCAAUGCCGCGUGAGUGAAGAAGGCCUUCGGGUUGUAAAGCUCUUUUGUCAGGGAAGAAACACCGGCUCUAACACAGUCCGGGAAUGACGGUACCUGAAGAAUAAGCACCGGCUAACUACGUGCCAGCAGCCGCCGUAA